rnacentral:misc_RNA from 1 species
GUAGGAAAAAAAAACACAAGAGAAUCACAGCCGAUUCAAGCAAGUUUUCCCUUUUUUUGUUUCUUCACGUGCUCUUGACUUCACCACCCGAACCUCUUCAAGCUAUUCCCAGUUCUCUAAAACUCACUAUCUCACACAAACAUACACAUACACACACACACACACACAAACCCCUCUCAAUCUUCCCCUCGUCGUUUAUGUGUGCGUGUGUGUCUGGUGUAUGCUUGAUCAGAUCCUCUUUUCGCAUUUCUCUUUUUUUUUUCGCUUGCCUUUUCGUUGUUUUUCACCUAUUUCCUCCCUUUCCUUCACUCCCCGGCACACACCCUCUGCCCUCACUCUUCCACUUUGCCCGGAAACCCGAAGGACUGCCCUUGAUCACUUAUUCUCCGACUCUUUCGCUCUCCGUCACCGUCACGGGUAUUUCGCUGCGGGCGCACUACUGAACGAAAAGAGAGGCUAAGCGGACUACCGUGGCGAGCAGAGAAGAAAAGGCCGCCGCAACAUAAAAAGGAGCCGAGAGAAAAGACGCCGACUGUGAACGUUCUCAAGAUCAGCUUUUUCGACCUCCCACCUUGUGUAUGUUUAAGUUCCCCGUCUCUCACCCAUACUGACACCCACAAGAUUUGUCUGUCCGGUGUCUCACUUGGCCCAGCUCGCUUUCACAGGCAUACACACACACACACACACACACACACCGCCAUCCUACUCGCUGAGAGUGUGUGCUCGCCUUUUGCUUUCGUUUCUCUCCCGAUCCUCUUCUCCACUUUGAACACGCACCGUUCAGCCGUCACGCUUCAUUACUUGCAGUUGCGACGUGUGAUAUCCAGUAGGGGGUGGGUAUCAUCGUCGAGCAGGCAGAGGUACACCAAAAAAACAGAGAAGAGAGAGAUACGCAGCUGUGUGUAAGGGCUAUUCGACGCCUUCGCACACCGACACCCACACCCACACACACACACACACAGUUGAGCACGUGCGACGCCCUCCACGGCGGCUGAGACACAAUCCCCCCCCUCCGCAUUUCGUUGACCCGCCCAGCCCCCUCCCCCUCUCUCUCUCUGCGGCUCUCGCUUCUUCACUCGCUGGCCUCUUUUUCUUUGUGUGUCGUUGUGCGUGUGUUUCGUUUUGGUUUUCUGAUGCUCUCUUGCUUUGAAGUUUCCUGUUAGCUGAAAGAAAGGGGGCUCUUUUUGUUUCGUUAGACUUGCUCGCCAUCCGUGUACGCGUCGGACUUUUUAUCACCAUCCUGUCUUUCAGUUCUCGCUUGCGAGCUCCUCUGCGCUGUGGGUUCUCCUCUCACAAGCAUCCGACAAGGUGUUUAAAAUCUUCCCUUUGUUACCCCCCCCCUCCCACCCCAUCGCCCCCUUGUCCACAUCUCACAACUCGGACUCGCUGUUGUUGUUGUUCCCCCGUUUUUCAUUUUUGUGUUUUCUGUUCCUCGCUUCUCUGCUCUUUCUUCUUCUACUUGAUUGCGUAGGAUGCACAGGACUGAUUGGUAGGUGGGGCGCUACACACGGCAAUACCAGCCUUUUUUCGCGUUUGUUUCUGUCUUGUUACUUGUCAUCAUCAUUGCGGCGCCUUCUCCCACGUGCACUUCGGCUAACGUGAUUCCCAUCUGACCCAACAAAGAACAGAGAAAAAACGACAAGCGAAUUAGCGGGGCACGCACGCACACAACUGCUUCAACCCCUCCCCCCCCCUGGAGAUCGACAAAAGGGCGAAAUUGUGCAUUGUUCGACUUCUUCUCUCAGGUCUUUACCCUUUCACUCUCGUUCUGUCCUUCUGGGGCGCGAUUGCCGUGCUACUCACGCAGUGGACGUCUUUCAUCGCAACCCACGCCUCCGUCCUUCCCCUUCCUUCGUCGCGCGCGUCUCUCUCUUUCUCUGUUCUCCACGUAAGCGGAGGGCACAGAGCGUUGUCGAGAGGGCGAGCCAGAAAGAGAAACUGCGCGACGCACUCACGCACACAUAGACGCACACUACCUCACGUGCGUGUUGUGUUGGACUUACCCGGAACGAAAAGAGGAAAGCUCACCCAAGGGAGAACGAAGGAAAAAAAAGAAACACCGUAGCAACCUUCCGAGCGACGGUCACUUUUAUCAUCUUUUAAACCUUUUUCUUCCCCUUUUCGCCGAGUCGCUCUCCCUCUUCCCUUCUCUUACCUUGUCUACGACAGACGUUCUCCUCGCUGCUGCUUUGGCUGUUUUUUUUUCUUAUUUUUCGUUGUUACGUGUGCUCGUGUGUAUCAUCGCCCACGAACCCUUUUGUUUUCGUUCAUGUUCUUCCCCCCUCCUCCUCCACGUUAUUGCUUCUCUGUCUCUCCUUUUCCUGCUCUCUAAAAAAAUCUUGGCGAGGUCUUACGUAUCUACACACCCCUCUCUGUCUCUCAUUUCUUCGGUACUGACCUACGAGUCAUCUCACUACACGCUGUGACUCCGGCCCUCUUUAUCUUCUGCUUUUUGUUUUCGUUUUUAUUUCACUUCCACGGUGUGCGUGGCUCUUCUCCCUUCUUGCCUCCUCCUGCUUCUCCCUCUCUCGCGCGCACGCACAUCGCUUAGGCAGGCAUUUCUUCGAAAACAGAUAAACCUUUCCGUUCUAGCGUUGGCCCCUCACCACCCCGACUCUCACCCUUUCAUCUGCCAAACGGAUCUCUGCCCUUCCCUGUGCGUCUCUUUCUCGCCCCACCUUUUUCCUCCUCGUCUUUCUCCCACUCGUGAAGCACGCCACAGUCGGAGAACAGGGAGAGAAGGAAACGGCAUUGAGGCACCGCUCAGACAGCAACGGCGGCAAAGGGGAAGCCUGCGCGUGUGUGCGCGCUUGGGAAAAAAAAUCCUGUCCUUUCCUUCUAUCGACGUGUCUGUUCCCUCCGUCGUCCUUCUUCGUUCCUUCUUUUCGUCGCGCCGUAUAUCUUUUAUAUUUCUGUUUCCUUUCGUAGACACGUAGCGCCAAGAGCAGCACUGAAAAUUUAUUUUUGAAUUUGUGUGUGAUUUACUGCAGCGGACGUGCUGAGGUUUUUCACCACGGGGACGCACGGGCAGAUAAAAGCAGAGCUAUACAUACCCACAGAGAUACCACGCGCCUACACGAAAACUCUCGCGUUGUCGCCUACACCGUAACUCUCCCCCCCCCCACCCACCUCCGACGCCGGCGUACUGCGUUACCUUUUUUUUUUGAUUUGCUUUCUUGUCGUUGCCUUCUGUUUUCCACCGUAUUUCAAACGCCUCUCUCUAUAUAAACAAACAAGUCCGCAAAACACCACAAGAGAGCGUUUCUCGACGCUCUUUUACUCUUUUUUUUCGCGUCCACCAAACUGAACCCCCCCCCCCCCCCCACCCUCCUCCCACACGGCAACCGUGCGAGAAGUAAGCAGAGACAUAAACAACCACAACAGCAACGAGGGGAAAAGCAAAGUAAAAACAGCGCAAAAAUUCAGUGAUUCAAAACGAUCGCGCAGUGAAUGCAAGGACGAUUCUCGACUCGGGAAUAUCGACACACACACACACACACACACACACACAUACAGUCGCUCACAAACACGGACGCGGAUAGAGAAGGGACGCGAGAAGACAAGAAAGAGCCGCACCCCCUUUCUCCAUCCGUGCGCAUUCUUCGUUUAUCUAUUCACUGUACUGUGUUGUGUCGCGUAUUAUUUUUUCCUUCGGGCGCCUUUUCGCCGAAACACGAAGCACAAGGCCCCUCUCGUGCUGCGCCGCCCGCCUUUGUGACAACAGGAAGUGCUUUGGAGCUGUGUCUUUCCGACUCUUUUCGCUUGUUCUCCUUCCUUCGGUGUCGCGCAGAAGCUGUGUCAGCUGUGUAUCUCUUCACUGGCGAACCUUGCGGCAUGCCAGAGCUUGGAAAAUCCGUCUUUCAUGUAUCGUUUCACCUUUCUCGGUUUUUUUUUGCCGCCGUAGUGGCGGCGCUGCUUCUCUUCUUCCUCAGUGGUGGUUCACUCGCCGGCACACACAUACGCGACGGCUCCCCCAGUGGCGGGGCAGAAAACGACACCACGCGGACCGUGACGACGACGACGACGUCUCCUACACCUGCUGCGCCGGUGUCGCUUCAGGAGGCGUGCCACACGGAGAUGAAGCUGUACUGCAGCGACCACCCCAUCUCCCCUCUGCGCUGUCUCGUGGAGCAGUACUACCGCACCGCCAAGAGCAACGGUGAGGAGCCACGUCGACUGACGUCUGCGCUUUACUCAGACGUGUGCGGGUCGUGGUUGGCUGCGCGCGAGGCGUGCCUUGGCUUUGUGCAUCAGCGCGGCCGUGAGCUCUGCGGGAACUCCGUGACUGAUGCGCGCGAGUGCCUGCGGCAGAUCCCCCCUCUGGUGCUUCCGCACGCGUGCGUGACGAGCGCCUACUACGAAAGUGUGCGGUUGGUGGGAAAGCUGCGCCAGCACCAAAACGAGGAUGCUCGGCUGCGCCUGCUUCGCGAAAAGUUUCCGUAGAGAACAAGAGCGAGACAGCAGAAGCGGAUGACUGGACGAAAAGAAAAACGACUGGCUUUGCUUUCGAUGCUCGACGGGCGCAGCCAUCACCCUCUCAGAAAUAAGGGCACCGCUCACCCCCUACUCUACACGGCACCGACGCGCAUGUGAAGCCCACCGGCCUCCCGUCCGAUUUGUUUUUCGAUUUUUUUUGUCGGUUUUCUACUUCUAUUUGGCGCCUUUUGUGCCCACACGACACGGACUGCUGUCGCGCGUCUCGCUUUCUUUAUUGUCUCGGUGCUCUGCGAGGCGCUUCCGCUGUAAACGGUAAGCGAAAAAAAAAGCAUUCAAGAGAGGAUCGCCCCAUCUCAGCCC